CCCGGCCACCUCGUGGGUUCGGAGAAUUGACUGUGACAGUAGAUGCGAGCGCGCUCCGGAAUCAGUGGGCAGUGCCGCAAACGCCUUUACUUUUGAGCACGGGAAGGUGUUCCCUUCUUGCUCACCUGGAGCUGUCUUGGAGAAGAGGUGCUGAUUACUUCCUCGGGGAAAUGAGGCUUAGAAGGCGCUCAGAGUGGUUAUUUCGUCAGGAUGUUUGUGUCAGCUUCCCUGAGUCUGGGGUGUGCGUGAGACAGAGAGAGGGAGAUGGGGCAGAGGCGGUGGCAAGUCCUCUGGAGAGCCACCGCCUAGUACUCUAGUGAAUUCUUGUCUUUUUCAACCUGGUUUGUGGGCUCCCGUCCCACUCAUCUGUGGGUGAGGAGGGGGUGCCCGGAGGAAGGAGGUUCUCCGUGGAGAGGGUCCUGGCCGGGAAUGGCCUUGCUCAGGGCCUAUAAAGGCCAGGGCAGACAGGGAGAGGACUCCCAGGGCCUCCGCGUUUACGUGUUGCCAACACCACAGGCUUUUUUGCUGGCCUCUCAGCUCCGUUUCCAGGAAUUUAAUAACCUCCCGAUUGGGCCAAGUGGGGUUUCCUUUUUCAAACAACACCAUGAAAGUAAAGUUGUUCCUCAGCGUCCACUGCUAGUGAGGCCCGCACACGGGUAAAUGGGGGCUCCCCCACCCAGGGUUGCUCCUGCUGGGGGACAGGCCUGCACACAUCCUGCCCUCCUACCUGCAGUGUUAAGAUUUCAGAUCUGUACCCGGCCGUAACUGCAGGUGUUCAAUGAAAUCACACAUCUGAGCCCACUUGGAGGAUAAGCUCAAACUCCGACCCGACGAAUUCAUGGAGAGCUGCCUGUGGUCAGGUGCCCACUGGCAUUCCAUGCAGCCCGGGCCGCCCUCCGUAGACCAGAGUGCUUCAGGAACACCUAUGCAAAGAUCGGGUGGUUUUCUGAAGACGCCCACAAAAUCGAAGGGCCUCCUGAGAGUCUAGGAGGGUGAUGUUUGACAGACCCGACCCCCCAGCCGAGCUCAGCUUCAGCACGCUGGUCUCUGAGAAGAGGCUAGUAUCCAGCGUCCCACCUGCCUCGGGGGGUUGUUUGAGCCGAUGGAUAAUGACGGUGAAAGCAUCACCGUGACAAGUCGAGAUGCCAAUCAAUUGAAAUGCAGCUGUGACCGUCUCACAACUAACUCCGAAUGACUAGCCAGCUUAACUUCGUGCUAAAAUGAUUUCUUCCCUACGCGUUUCAGUUCAAAAGAUAAAAAUUAUGUCAACAGAGCUAUUAAAAUUUCAGCUACUAAUAGAAUCGUUUUUGUUAUGCUGAUAAAACAAAUCUCCAGCUUUAUUUAAAUUGCACAGCUGUCAUUGUAGUAAAACGUGUACACGAGGAUACGGAGAUUCAUGGACUCUAACAAGCGAAGAAACACAAAUGCGAGAAUGCCUUUCGGGAGGCGUGAGCACCAACCUAACAGAAGAAGUAACACAGAGGCCAUGAUGUAGAUUCCACGACUCCGAAGAAAAGAAAGAAGAUGGGGUCUCCAGCAGGAAAAUGUUAAGAAGCAUCGUUAAGUGGAAAGUGGAAAGCGUAAAACCAAACACGACAAAGCAGACAAAAAGUAUAUAACAACCAAAUAAAACAAAUACCAACAGGUCA